rnacentral:piRNA from 1 species
UCAAUUGAUGAUUCUACAAUAGGUAUUU